CGCUGAACUUAAGCAUAUCAAUAAGCGGAGGAAAAGAAACUAACAAGGAUUCCCCUAGUAACGGCGAGUGAAGCGGGAAGAGCUCAAGCUUAAAAUCUCUGCGCAAGUUUUGCGCGGCGAAUUGUAGUCUAUAGACGCGGCAUCAGUGCGGCCGUUCGGGGUAAGUUCCUUGGAAGAGGACAGCAAUGAGGGUGAUACUCCCGUUUGUACCCGAGUGUGUUGCACGUACGAUGCGUGUUCUUUGAGUCGCGUUGUUUGGGAAUGCAGCGCAAAGUAGGUGGUAAAUUCCAUCUAAAGCUAAAUAUUGGUGCGAGACCGAUAGCGAACAAGUACCGUGAGGGAAAGAUGAAAAGAACUUUGAAAAGAGAGUUAAAGAGUACCUGAAACUGCUGAAAGGGAACCGGGUCGUUGCCAGUGUCUAUAAUCCGCUGCAUAUUUCAUUGCUGUGCGAGUCCGUGUCGCGCGUUGGUAGUAGUUUGUUCUGCACCGCGCGUGUCUGUGGGUUUGUUCGGCGGUGCCCUGUGCGGUGGUGGGACGUCAGAGUCAGUUCGUGUUGCUGCGGGAAAUGGCUGUCGAGGAGGUAGGUCAGGAGCUUGCUUUUGGCUGUUAUAUCUUGGCGUGCUAGUUGUCGUGGUUGGGACUGAGGUGCCUUACAACGUGCUUUUGGAGUGCGUGUGCGUCUCUGUGUGCGUCCGGAUUGGAUAGCUUGCUAUGCAGUUUGUCACGUGUGCGGAUGGAUGUGCGCGUUUACUUUUGGCCGUUCGGGACUUUGACGAAAUGGCGCGAUCCGACCCGUCUUGAAACACGGACCAAGGAG
rnacentral:rRNA from 1 species